rnacentral:rRNA from 1 species
UGGGGAAUCUUGCGCAAUGGGCGAAAGCCUGACGCAGCCAUGCCGCGUGAGUGAUGAAGGCCUUAGGGUUGUAAAACUCUUUCACCGGGGACGAUAAUGACGGUACCCGGAGAAGAAGCCCCGGCUAACUUCGUGCCAGCAGCCGCGGUAAUACGAAGGGGGCUAGCGUUGCUCGGAAUUACUGGGCGUAAAGGGCGCGUAGGCGGAUCAGCAAGUUGGGGGUGAAAGCCCGGGGCUCAACCUCGGAAUUGCCUUCAAAACUGCUGAUCUAGAGUACGGGAGAGGUGUGUGGAACUCCGAGUGUAGAGGUGAAAUUCGUAGAUAUUCGGAAGAACACCAGUGGCGAAGGCGACACACUGGCCCGUUACUGACGCUGAGGCGCGAAAGCGUGGGGAGCAAAACAGGAUUAGAUACCCUGGUAGUCCACGCUGUAAAACGAUGAUUGCUAGUUGUCGGCAGGCAUGCCUGUCGGUGACGCAGCUAACGCAUUAAGCAAUCCGCCUGGGGGAGUACGGUCGCAAGAUUAAAAACUCAAAGGAAUUGAC